rnacentral:lncRNA from 1 species
CUCACUAUGUCUAAGAAACUGGGUCUCACUAUGUCACUAUGUUAUCCUGCCAGUGAAUCAAGGUGGUGUGGAAGCUGGUGGUCCAUCUUGACCUCACUUUUUCCAGUGCAGAAACCCUGAAUCAAGGGGAAAUUUCCUGCAUGGCUUGGUGGUAGACAGAUUAGAGGGAAGGGUGUUGUGGAUAUGGAAGUCCAAUUAUCUUACUGUAUACUCAGAUUUUUUCCA